GACGAACGCUGGCGGCGUGCUUAACACAUGCAAGUCGAACGGAAAGGCCCUGCUUUUGUGGGGUGCUCGCGUGGCGAACGGGUGAAUAACAUGUGAGUAACCUGCCCUUGACUUUGGGAUAACUUCAGGAAACUGGGGCUAAUACCGGAUAGGAGCUCCUGCUGCAUGGUGGGGGUUGGAAAGUUUCGGCGGUUGGGGAUGGACUCGCGGCUUAUCAGCUUGUUGGUGGGGUAGUGGCUUACCAAGGCUUUGACGGGUAGCCGGCCUGAGAGGGUGACCGGCCACAAUGGGACUGAGAUACGGCCCAGACUCCUACGGGAGGCAGCAGUGGGGAAUAUUGCACAAUGGGCGGAAGCCUGAUGCAGCAACGCCGCGUGCGGGAUGACGGCCUUCGGGUUGUAAACCGCUUUCGCCUGUGACGAAGCGUGAGUGACGGUAAUGGGUAAAGAAGCACCGGCUAACUACGUG
rnacentral:rRNA from 1 species